AUGGCCGCUUCACCGCCGCUCCGUCACGUGGCCAUGCUCCCCUUCAUGGCCAAAGGCCACGCCAUGCCGCUGCUCCACCUGGCGCGCCUCCUCCUCGGCCGCCGCCUCGCCUCCGCCGUCACCUUCUUCACCACCCCGCGCAACGCGCCCUUCAUCCGCGCGGGGCUCGCCGGCGCCGCGGUCGUCGAGCUUCCGUUCCCCUCCGGGGACGCCCCGCAGUGCACGGACGAGCUCCCGUCCACGACGCAUCUCGUGGACUUCGUUUCCGCGAUGGCGGCGCUCGGGCUGGCGUUCGCGGACGCGCUCGCCGCGGUCGAGCCCAGGCCGGACCUGCUCGUCCACGACGGGUUCAUCGUGUGGGCCAAGGACAUCGCCGACGAGCUCGGCAUGCCGCGGCUCGUCACCCUCGGCAUCGGCGGCUUCGCCUCGUACGUCUGCGGGGCGGUCAUGACGCACAAGCCGCAGGCGCUCAUGAGCUCGCCAACCGAGCCGUUCCCGGUCCCCGGCCUGCCGGACCUCCGCAUCACCAUGGCCGACCUCGGCCCGCCCUUCGACGUCCCGGAACCGGCCGGCCCGCACUGGGAUUUCGUGUGCGAGAGCUGCAGCAGCAUGUACUCCAGUAGGGGCAUCAUCGCCAACUCCUUCAGCGAGCUGGAGUCGGUCUACAUCGACCUGUGGAACCGAGACUUCGACAUCAAGAUGUGGCCGAUCGGACCGCUCUGUCUCGCGGCUCCCGAACCGGCAGUCCAGACCAAAGACGACCGUGACAUCUCGGACUGGCUGGACUCGAGGCUCGCCAUGGACCGCCCGGUCCUCUACGUCGCGUUCGGCUCGCAGGCCGAGCUGAGCCGGGCUCAGCUGGAAGAGAUCGCCGUCGGCUUGGACCACUGCGGCGUAGACUUCCUAUGGGUGGUCCGGUCGAAGUGGUUCGACACGGAGGAUCGGUUCAAUGACAGGUUCGGGGACAGGGGCAAGGUGGUGGAAGGUUUCAUCAACCAGCUCGGAGUGCUAGGUCACAAGUCAGUCAAAGGUUUCUUCACCCACUGCGGGUGGAACUCCGUGCUGGAGAGCAUCACCAUGGGCGUGCCAAUACUGGCGUUCCCAUUGGCAGCCGAGCAGAAGCUCAACGCCAAGUUCGUCGUGGACGUGGUCCACAUGGGGCUCCGAGUUUGGCCCAAAGAAGAUGCUGACAAGGAAGGCAGUGGAUUGGUUGUGAGUGGAGACGUGCAGGUGUUGGCGAGGGAGUUGAUCUUGGGAGAGGAAGGGCGACGUGCCGCGGCUAGAGCAAGUGAGCUAUCUGUGUCUUCUAGAAAGGCCAUGGAAGUGGGUGGUUCCUCGUAUGAAAACCUGGCAAAGAUGGUUCACGAGGUCUGUGAGACCAAUGCCAAUGGUGGUUAA
rnacentral:rRNA from 1 species